UACGUAGGCAGCAAGCGUUGUUCGGAGUUACUGGGCGUAAAGGGUGCGUAGGCGGCUUCUUAAGUCUGGUGUGAAAUCUCCCGGCUCAACUGGGAGGGUGCGCCGGAUACUGAGGGGCUAGAGUGUGGGAGAGGAAAGUGGAAUUCCUGGUGUAGCGGUGAAAUGCGUAGAUAUCAGGAGGAACACCUGUGGCGAAAGCGGCUCACUGGACCACAACUGACGCUGAGGCGCGAAAGCUAGGGGAGCAAACAGG
rnacentral:rRNA from 1 species